AAUGAAGGCUGUGAGGCAGAGCCGAGCCGUAAUAUCCAUAAGGCGACGAAGGGAUGACGCCAUGGCGUCCCACAGAUGAGUAAUGGAGGCCGGCAGGAGAAAGCCCGGUGUAUGGAAGGACGGAGGCGUCCCGACGGUGACGUCUAGUACUAUAUCCCUGCAGAAGACCGUACUGAGAAGAAGGGCGUUGAUAAGAUAUCUGAUGGCGCUGCUGUGGGAAGGCGUUCACGCCACGAAGGAAGUUGAGUGUUCCUGUUGGAGCCUUCAACAGUAGGCCUAACCUGGAGAAAGGGAAUUUGAAGACACAACGCCCAUCUAGACGAAAUCCAAAUUGAGUGCAAAGCAAGAAUUUUUCUUAUAACACGACAAAGGCACAGUUUCAAUAGAAACCCAUAAUUAACUAUCAAGAAACACAUAGCAAAGAUAUAAGUCGUGUAUGAAAGAAAACUGACUCACUAUAGGGUCACAAAACAAGUCGGAUCAAGCCGGGACUACCCUCUGGGAUAAUCUCAAAAAUAUUGUUGUGGUCACUUGGAUAGGAUUAUAGGAUAUCAAGUACUUUGUUUUUUCUCAUCCUUUUGACUUCCUUGAAGGUCAUUCGCGGAUUGUUGAUACUCUUG